AUAAACUAUUCCCGGAAAAGGGUCUCUCCACCACGAAACAUGUUGACAAAAAUUAGAUGCAUUUAUUUUCUUUAUUUCUCUGUGUCUUUUAGUUAUCACUUCUUCUUCAGAGUCACCAAUCCAAUGUCCGACGAAACCUUGACGAAAUCAAGACAAAAAAAGUCCUUUUCUGUUUAUCAAAACAAUUCAUUCUUUUCUCAAAGCCGAUCGAUCUACUCUUCUAAAGCCAUCACCUGAGAUUUUUUCAAGACAUACAAUCGAAAAGUAAUCAUUCUAGACAUGUGAAUGGUAAAGUAUCUAUUUCUCCAUUCUUAUUUUAAGAAUUCCGAAUUAUUAAAACACAAGACAGUUCUAAUCUCUGGGUUUUUUUUUUUUGCAAUCCUUUGGGAACUCAACUGAGUUUAAAUAAGAGCAAAUAUGUUGAGAAAAUUAUAAAUUCACCCAAUACUAAGUUCACAGAGUUUGAGUUCCCCUUAUACAUGAUCGGAUGCUUCUUCAGGACUCAAUUGUUGUCCCUGCAGUAUUUGAUCUAGAUUGCAUAAGAGAGAUGCCACUCAGAUAACAUGCACAUGGACGAACUGUCCAACUUCAUCCUUCUUCACGGUUCCAUGAAUGUUAUCACCCUAUUAAAGAGGAACACAAAAUAGUGAGCAACCUUAAAAACUAUAUGAGACUAUAACAAAAGUUUUUAAGCAAUAUAAAUACUCAUAUAAACUUACUCUAGAAUCCACGAAGACCAUCUCAAUAGUCUCACUACCCGCAGCUGAAUACUGCGUCCACAGCCGGAUGAUUUUAACCUUAACCUGUCACAUUGACUUGAAAGGCCUCAAAUCAGAGAUAUGGUUCAUUGUAGCCAUGUUGAUUUUUUUAGUUUUUUGCUCUGGUUUAGUGAAUGAAGAAAUGACUCAUAUCCUCUUUGGCUUAUAUAUGAGGAAAACUUAGAAUUAAGGAGAAUAUAUGCGUAAUGUAAGGCAUUUAAUGGAAUAGAUUUAGCUCCAAUCACUCUUAAAUCUAAGAAUUAUAUAUUUUCUGUUUGCCAUAGAUAAGUCAUUGAUACAAUAUUCUUUGUAAAUGUAGUAGUAACUUACGGAAUCACCAUAAAUAUUUACCAUAUAAAAGGGAUAUUGUGGGUUCUAAAUAACUAAUUUAGUCAAAACUAUAUAUAUACACUAACCUAAAAUGAAAAUGGCCACAUCGACGACAUAUUUAAUGGACGUACUUAGGUAAGUUAUUAGGCUAGAUACAUUAUGAUCUUAAUUGCAUGAACCGGCAUACAAUUGUACUGCAAAUUCAAAGAACAUGGUUGAAAUUCGACCAAUUCGGUUUGUGGUUCAAAUAGAGUAUAUACAUCUUGUGCUUCUCAUCGAGUUCAUGCAGUUAUAAAUAAUGUCGUUGUAGUGUUAUUCUCGUAGUUAAACAUCAUGAUGAAUACAUGAAAACUAUGUUAAGUUGGGUGAAAGAACAGUGUAUUCAGUUCGGUCAAAUUUGACAAAAAACCAUUGUUAAGUCAUAUUCUUUUUAAGUAUUUAUGUCUAUUUGAUUGUUUAGAAUGCAUAUGUGAUAUAGUCUCAUAU